rnacentral:rRNA from 1 species
AUUGAACGCUGGCGGCAGGCCUAACACAUGCAAGUCGAGCGGAUGAAGGGAGCUUGCUCCUGGAUUCAGCGGCGGACGGGUGAGUAAUGCCUAGGAAUCUGCCUGGUAGUGGGGGAUAACGUCCGGAAACGGGCGCUAAUACCGCAUACGUCCUGAGGGAGAAAGUGGGGGAUCCUCGGACCUCACGCUAUCAGAUGAGCCUAGGUCGGAUUAGCUAGUUGAUGGGGUAAAGGCCUACCAAGGCGACGAUCCGUAACUGGUCUGAGAGGAUGAUCAGUCACACUGGAACUGAGACACGGUCCAGACUCCUACGGGAGGCAGCAGUGGGGAAUAUUGGACAAUGGGCGAAAGCCUGAUCCAGCCAUGCCGCGUGUGUGAAGAAGGUCUUCGGAUUGUAAAGCACUUUAAGUUGGGAGGAAGGGCAGUAAGUUAAUACCUUGCUGUUUUGACGUUACCAACAGAAUAAGCACCGGCUAACUUCGUG